rnacentral:rRNA from 1 species
AACGAACGCUGGCGGCAUGCCUAACACAUGCAAGUCGAACGAGACCUUCGGGUCUAGUGGCGCACGGGUGCGUAACGCGUGGGAACCUGCCCUUAGGUUCGGAAUAACUCCCCGAAAGGGGUGCUAAUACCGGAUAAUGUCUUCGGACCAAAGAUUUAUCGCCUUUGGAUGGGCCCUCGUUGGAUUAGCUAGUUGGUAGGGUAAAAGCCUACCAAGGCGACGAUCCAUAGCUGGUCUGAGAGGAUGAUCCGCCACACUGGGACUGAGACACGGCCCAGACUACUGCGGGAGGCAGCAGUGGGGAAUAUUGCACAGUGGGCGAAAGCCUGAACCAGCAAUGCCGCGUGAGUGAUGAAGGCCUUAGGGUUGUAAAGCUCUUUUACCCGGGAUGAUAAUGACAGUACCGGGAGAAUAAGCUCCGGCUAACUCCGUG